rfam:Schistosoma rodhaini strain Burundi genome assembly, scaffold: SROB_scaffold0006846
AUCCAUCUGACGAGUCGCAAAUGGGACGAAACGCGCGUCCUGGAU